CUGAGGGCGCGAGCUUGGGCCCCCGGGUCCCCCAGAACUGGGGAGCUGAGGUAAAAAAGGCUCUGGGUGCCUUCGGGAGGCUCGACCGGCGUGUCCAGGCGCCCCUCGGACCCACCUGAGGACGCGGGCGUCGCGGGCUGUGGAGAAGCCAAGAGCCCACUGGUGCCCCGGCGGCCCCUGGGGCGGCUCUGGGCUGCGGGCGCGGCGCCAGGCCUCGUUCCGCGGUCGCCGCAGCCCCGGAGCCGGGGCGACCCCCAUUUCACAAGUGGAGAAAGUGAGGAGGCGCCCGAGCGGGACUCGAACCGUGGGCUGCCGUCGCCCCCCGCCCGCGGCCCCCUCACUCAGAAGGCGGGAAAGAGACGCACGACGGCCGCCUCCGGGACGCCCUCAGCGGCCUCGUCCCCGUCCCCGUCCCGGCAAGAAUUCUCAGGUCUGCGGGGACCAGAAACAGGCUCCAGACGCAGGAGGAGUCGCCCGCGCACCCUCGGGCCACGUUGCCUCCAGCUAGGGGAGUGCAGUGGGCCGGAGUCUCGAGGCCACGCGCAGGGCUCUCCCGUGCGGGUCCGGCGACAGCCCACCGGGUGGUGACCUUAUGCAGCAAGGCCUGGGCUGGAUGGGCCUUGAUCCCGACCGCAGUCGCGUUGAGAUGGCGCCAUGUGGUGAAACCGUGCGUCACCCUUGUGAAUGGGCUGCCCACCGUGUCCAGUUUACCCAUUAGAAACCACUGUCCUCAGAUUCUUGGAGGGUACAUCGACGGACAGGAACCCCCAAAGGCAGGAGCGAAUUUGUUUCAGAAUCUGGGCUGUGGUUUACAAACAAGUUCAGAGAGAUUUUGGUGCAAAGCUACAGACGGAACUGGUUUACUGCACAUUAUAAGUGGAAAUCUUUAUUUUUUUCUGUUUUUAAGGAAUCCUGUGGCAAGGUCAUUAAUCAUAUUAUCCAUUAUACGAGAAACAAAUGGAUUUGUCACUUAUACACAGAAGCUGAGGUUGAUUCUAAAAACAAACUAUCAAAGUAAAUGAAAUUAUUAUGAUAAUAUGAAAUAGACUGCAGUGAUUAAUCUCCAGAAACCGAAUUUUGACCUGCUGUGCACUUCGAACAAUAGCUUCCAUUAUGUAAAUAGCUGUGGGGUUUUCAAGGAUAAUGUUGCUAAAUUACAAGAAAAAGUUCUAUACAUGAAACUCUCUUCAUGCAUAAACAUUAGAGACAGGAAAUCUGGUCUCCACAGCACUCAAGGCAGAGGACAGUGGAAGCCAUGAUGGUUCAGGAAUCACAUCAACUCCCUGACUGUUUGGUUGGCCUUCUUUGAGAUUCCCUCCAGAUCUGUGGCCUUUCUGCCCUGAGUUCCCGCAUCCAGAGUGGCGCUGAGCACUUCUGUAAAGCCAGAGUACAAUGGAGCCUCCCUCCAACCCACACAGGUCCAGGGGGCUGCACUCUCGGGAAGGUUGGGCCAUCGCCCGGCCAGGACUCAGCUCAUGGAUGCACAUACAGAGUCGCUUCACAUGGUCCGCGUCUCCCUCCUGCACUCAGCGCUUUCCAGGCCUGCGUUGUUGGGUAGGAGCUCCCUGGAGAGGAAGCACAUCCAGCUGGGCCCGCUUCUAACACCGUGCAUCCCCAAAAGCCAAGGCUGAUGUCUACACUCGUGGGGGCCUGGCGCCAUGGUUGGUCAGCAAGGCCAGCAGCUGGGAAGAAUCAUUAGUACUAGAUGGAGGCCCUGCUGGGACCUUUCCAACCAUCAGCCACAGCACCCUUAGCACAGAGAAGAGGCCAUGUGAGGACACAGUGAGAAGGCAGCUGUCUGCAAGCCAGAAAGAGAGGCCUCACCAGACACCAACCCUGCUGACAGCUUGAUCUCAGACUCCCAGACUCCAGAACUGGGAGCCCUGAUGUGUAGCAUCUGUCAAUUUCUGUGAUGAAUAUACUUCCACCAAGGCCUAUUAAACGCUGCCAAAAGACCCGGCACAGGUCACAGACCCACGGGACAGCGAGGUCACAGAAGCCAAGAAAGCAAAGAAAAUGCUUUUCAGAAAGGAGGUAACGGCCAAGCAUGCUGGACGCUGCCAAGGGCACAGCGAGGUGACCGGAAACGCCCGUUCAUUCUGGACACCCAGAGCUCGGAGAGUAUGUCUUCGAGAAGGUUUCUCUUCAAAAGACCAGGGCACGUCUGAGGCAUUCUCUUUCCCCCCCGCACCCCCCACCCCCGCACUACAAGGCCAUAAAUUUCCCUCCCUAAUCUCCUCUCCUGCUCUGUGAGUUACAGAAGCUCCUGGGUCAUUUAUCAUUCAUCAUUAUCACAGUGACACAUCCAGCCAUCUAAUUCAUUGUCUCCCAGCGCUAACUUCAUCUCCUUCCUUGAAUACUCACCCGGCUGGAAUCUCUUCUGACAAACUCCUGGCACCGCUCUGGCAUUAUCUUCCCCCAAACAGGCACGAUCCUUUUAGAACUUUAUUGGCGAUCUCUUAAAAGAGCCCUUCAGAAACAGUCGGGGCCUCAGUGUAUCACGGAUCACUUAGCACUUAGGGAGGACAAAUGACUCAGCGUGACUGCCUGUUCUCGCUGUACUGCCAAGGAAAUUCAAGGCGCCACCUCCGAGGUCUCCCCGGGGCCAGAGAAGGCACCCAACAUGUCCCCUGGCUCAUAAGUGACCCCACUGACUGCCUCAUCCGUGGACUGUCUGGGGAGGGUGGAGGAUGAAGCCAGCGUCCUGGAUUCCCACAGGAGUCUUGAGCGGUCAGCAGACCAAUCUCACAAAGUCAAGGGCCGGAAGGAGAGGAGGCGUGGCCCGUGGUACACACGCUAUAUGGAGACCUCCCUGCCUGUGUGGGUUCCCUGUGCUGGAGGCGGCAGGAUGGGAGAUUCAGAGGCUUCCCCUUCUCAGGUCAGAUCUGAAAGAGGAACAGGUGUGAAUUUAGCAAAGGAGCCGCUAGCUCGCCCCUUCCCGCCCCAGGCCCGGCGACGUGCACAUCAACAAUCCUUGUUUGCAGACUGCAUCCUGCAGAAGCACUCCUGCAGGGAGCCUCCUCGACCCCAGAAUCGUUUAACGACUCAGAAGCGCCAGGCUUCCCCCAGGCAUCUCCUGCCUUCCUGGAGGGACGCCCCGAAUCCCCCAAAAGUUCUGAAAAGUAAUUUCAGUCUCAUUAAUUCUGGAAACAAACAACGGCAGAGGGAGAAGGAAGAUGAUGAGCAGAAUUAAAGGACAAAGCAGAAGGGGACCCAAGGCUCUAAGGAGAGCCAGACAACCGUCUGCUGGCCACUUUGGUGGAAAGACCUCCUUCCACACCAUCUGCACUCUCCUGUCCGGCAGGCAGGCCUCCAGGAGAAUGACCGUGAUGCCCACAAAUUCACCUGAUUAGCCUGGAACCAGAACAAGGAGAGUGAGACCACAUACUACAGGAUAUUCAGAAGGACCAUUUGUCCUGGGGACCAGACCUACAGAGCUACGAGCCAAGGAAUUCUGAAUCAACAAGGCAUGUAAGGCCAGGACUUGGGCACAAGGCACAUGCAUUAAUCAUGGCUUCCAGUGGUGGUUUCUCUUUCCCUAACUGGGAUUGUCUGUUACACAACCUAACGAAUGGCUCAUGUGGCAGGCGUGGGCACAGGCCUCCCCGGCAGCAACUCCGGCAAUCCCCACUGGCUGGGGUACACUGGGGGCCGAGGAAGUCCAGAUGUUUGGUGCCUCUGGGACAAUCUGCUCAACCAGGAACCAAACCUAAAACAGCCAGCCUGGAGUCUCAGCUUCUCUGGCAGGUGGGAACACAUGAGGCAGACACUCCACGGGUGCAAAGGAGAAGUCAAAAGAAAUCCACGGGACUUCCCAGGUGGUGCAGUGGUUAAGAAUCCACCUGCCAGUGCAGGGGACGUGGGUUCGAGCCCUGGUCCGGGAAGAUCCCACAUGCCGCGGAGCAACUAAGCCCAUGUGCCACAACUACUGAGUCUGCGCUCUAGAGCCCACAAGCCACAGCUACUGAGCCCGAGAGCCACAACUACUGAAGUCCGUGCACCUAGAGCCUGUGCUCCGCAACAAGAGAAGCCACCACAAUGAGAAGCCCGCGCACCACGACGAAGAGUAGCCCCUGCUCGACACAACUAGAGAAAGCCUGCGCGCAGCAAGAAAGACCCAACGCAGCCAAACAUAAAUUAAAAAAAAAAAAAGAGAAAGAAAUCCACAAGCAUCCUUCAGAUGGUGGUUCUGGCCACCCACACUGUCCCCCAGGGCAGCCCUUCUGCAAAGCCAGGAGAGAGAGGAAAACCUGCCCCACUCAGGUGGGCCGCGGCCCGGCGGAUCCUGAUGCUUCUUGUUGAGAGCCGCCAGCCUGCCUCCCGGGCACAGGCAGACAGCAUGGAGAGGCCUCCUCACUCUGGACCGGUCAGAGAGACAGACAGCAAAGCACUGUUUUGCCUUGGGGCAGGGUCAACACAGAGCUCCUGUCCGGGAAGCCGUGGUGUAGAGAAAGGAUGAUCUCCCGACCCCAUCCUGAGCAUUCUGAGUGGAAACCAGACCCCGUGGGUGCCCAGCCAGGAUCAGUUUGGCAGAAGUACCUGGAGUGUGAGAAACUAAUAAGAUCCAUUCAACUUGAAGGCUAAUUUUAUAUGACUGUGUCCAUUUUUCCCCCAAGAAAUUUCACACCUUGACACAAAUGAGGAGAUUCUAAGAAAGAGAAAUUUAAUGUAAGUAGCAUUUCCAACGAUGGAGGGGUAUGUGGAAAUGGGCCUUUUUCUCUGUGACCAGUGGCCUCCUGAGAUACAUGAAAGGAAGACCGCUCCCCCAACAUGGUGUCCCCCCCACGACAAUAAAGCCCCAAAUUGGCUCAUCUCACAAGGACCUUGUACAUCUGAUGGCGUCUUUUGAAGGCAGGUCAGUGAGAAUGAUACCUGAGCUGCAACUUAGCUGGCAUUACCUGGCAUACAGUGAGUGCCCAAUAAAUGCUGGCUGGCUGGCUGGCUGGAUGGAUAGAUAAGUGAGUGAGUUAUUCAACAGUCCCAUCACAAGCCAACAUUCAUUAAAGCCUUUCCAUAACAAUCUAGACAUAGAAGAGUUGUUUGUGGAAAGGCAAGAACCGAAUUUGCAAACCCUCCUGUUGACUUCACAAUAAUUCAUGCUCACCUGCGUCUAAUAAAAUAUGGAAGCAAUUCUACAGGAAUGUUUUGUGCUUUAGCGAUUCAUUUAACGAUUUCCUCCAGGGGGCAAGUCAUACAUCCUCAUCCAGAUGUGUGGGGAGUUCCACGAAUAAAUCUGCAAAUAUCAAGAUGAGAUGCUCCCACCUGACCCCCGGCCACACGAGUUCUUGCUAACGGAAGCAUGAAAGUGGAGACCAGUGGAAGUCAUUCUGGCCUCUGCUCCCAGUCACGGUCCCCAAGCCCAAAGCUCCCCGUGCCUGACCCCCCUACUGCAGUGACCUGAAACGGCUAAAGGAGCUGAAUGCCCAAGGCACUUUCUUCAAGGAACUUUCCUCUGUCAAGUCCAUGCCCAGCGCUUGGCAGGACCUCGGAGAGAUGAGAUGCUCUCCACCCCAUCAGCCCUGAUUCGAGAACACCAGGAAGGAGGCUCAGGUGCCACAGCUGCUGCCACUGUCCCUGCAGACCCCAACCACAGCCCUUCACUGGGCUGAGUCCGCCUGUGUCAGCUGCCCCCCAACUCCUUGCAGAUUCAAGAACCGAUGAAUACAGAUGAGCAACACCAGCCCGGAGCUGCCUGGCGUUCCACUCACGUCCUGAUUUUCUGGGUCACCAAUUUUUUUAAUUAAACUUUUAAUUUUGAAAUAGUUGUAGAUUCUCAUGCAGUUAAGAAAGAUCCCCAAGUCCCAAUUCUUCCUCAAUUCUUCCUCCCCUGCCCCUGUCCCCUGUGGUAAUAUCUUGCAAAAUAGUAGUACAAUAGUGAGUCACCAAUUUUUUAAAAUGUCACAUCCCAUGUCUAUUUCCUAAUGUGUGAUAAGAAGUAUAUUUUCACCCAGUGGAGGCUCUUGUCUCCCCGUUCCCACUCCCAAACCUACUUGACCUCACCACCCAAUUAUUUCCCACUUUGAUAAAGAGCACAGUGUACACAGCCCCACAUUCAGGAUUUCUCUCCCUCUUCCUUGCGUUUUCUCACUUUUUUUGGUGGGGGGCCAAAACAGUCCUGAAUCCACCCACUUGUCACUCUCUGGACCACAAUGACCCUGGCAUUAGCCCCUGUCAACGCUCUUCAGCAGAACCAGCUAAAGAAUUUGUAGGGCCCAGUGAAAAAUGAACGUACAGAGCCCCGUGUUCAAAAACUAUUAAGAGGGACUUCCCUCGUAGUUCAGUGGUUAAGAAUCCACCUGCCAAUGCAGGGGACACGGGCUCAAGCCCUGGUCAGGGAAGAUCCCACAUGCCAUGGAGCGACUAAGCCCGUGCACCACAACUACUGAGCCCACGCGCCACAACUACUAAAGCCUGCGCGCCUAGAGCCCGUGCUCCGCAACAAGAGAAGCCACCACAGUGAGAAGCCCGCGCACCAAAACAAAGAGUAGCCCCCGCUCGAUGCAACUAGAGAAAGCCUGCACGCAGCAACGAAGACCCAAAGCAGCCAAAACUAAAUAAAUUAAUUAAUUAAAAAAAAAAAACUAUUAAGAAUUUCAUUAUGGCAGCAGCACAGCAUUACACCAAGCUCGGGGCACUGGUUCCACACCCACAAAGCCCCCCCUGCCCCUCAACCAGAGACCACCAGGAGCACGGCUGUCGACAAAAAGUUGGGCUUGUUAAUUUGAUGCAGGAAGAGUGAACACACACUAUGGGGAACCCUGGGGCAUCUCAGUCAGGACCUCUUACAGGACUUGGGCUUCUGUCAUAUGAUCUGGGGGAGGGUUCAGGGAAUCAAGCCUUCACUCUGGGUUAGAUGCUAUCAGGAAUCAGGGAUGGUGCUAUGAUUGGGCAUCUUAAUAAUUCUUAUAUAGAAGGUAAGAAGGACGGGACAAAGCUAGAACUGUGAUAAGUUUAAAAAGAAAAAAAGAGUCACGUUAGCCAGGAUGGGAGAUGUUUGGUUGAUUUUGCGGUUUGGAUGAUGUCCAUGUUUUGUCUGUGUUCAGACGUGAUUUCAGAAGAGUCUUGUUGCUGUCUUAACCCAUUGUGGUCACAGAGUGGCUUUGUCUGAGGUUGGUGAUCCGUGAAAUUGUUCGUGUCCAACAGGAAAAUGCCUUUUUCUCUUUCUCACCCGUCAUCUCCGGCUCAGCUGCCUGCAAGAGCCCGCACUUGCCUCCCCAUCUUCACGCUCUCUCUUCUCCACACAGCAGCCAGAGUGAUCCUGUUAAAUCAUAAGGCAGAUCACAGCUCUCCUCUGCUUAAACUUCCAGUGGUCUCUGAGUGAGUUGAACUGUGUCCAAGUCCUAAGCCCCAGUAUCUGUGAAUGUUAACUUAGUUGGAAAUAGGGCCUUGCAGUUGUAAUUAAGUUAAAGAUCUCAAGAUGCUAUCAUAUUGGAUUUAGGUUCUAAAUCCAAUGACUGGUAUCCUAAUAUAAAAAAGGUACAGAGUAUAACUGAAUCACUUUGCUGUACAGCAGAAAUUAACACAACAUCGUAAA